UGGAUUAGUGGCGAACGGGUGAGUAACACGUGAGUAACCUGCCCUUAACUCUGGGAUAAGCCUGGGAAACUGGGUCUAAUACCGGAUAUGACUCCUCAUCGCAUGGUGGGGGGUGGAAAGCUUUUUGUGGUUUUGGAUGGACUCGCGGCCUAUCAGCUUGUUGGUGAGGUAAUGGCUCACCAAGGCGACGACGGGUAGCCGGCCUGAGAGGGUGACCGGCCACACUGGGACUGAGACACGGCCCAGACUCCUACGGGAGGCAGCAGUGGGGAAUAUUGCACAAUGGGCGCAAGCCUGAUGCAGCGACGCCGCGUGAGGGAUGACGGCCUUCGGGUUGUAAACCUCUUUCAGUAGGGAAGAAGCGAAAGUGACGGUACCUGCAGAAGAAGCGCCGGCUAACUACGUGCCAGCAGCCGCGGUAAUACGUAGGGCGCAAGCGUUAUCCGGAAUUAUUGGGCGUAAAGAGCUCGUAGGCGGUUUGUCGCGUCUGCCGUGAAAGUCCGGGGCUCAACUCCGGAUCUGCGGUGGGUACGGGCAGACUAGAGUGAUGUAGGGGAGACUGGAAUUCCUGGUGUAGCGGUGAAAUGCGCAGAUAUCAGGAGGAACACCGAUGGCGAAGGCAGGUCUCUGGGCAUUAACUGACGCUGAGGAGCGAAAGCAUGGGGAGCGAACAGGAUUAGAUACCCUGGUAGUCCAUGCCGUAAACGUUGGGCACUAGGUGUGGGGGACAUUCCACGUUUUCCGCGAGACUGGAAUUCCUGGUGUAGCGGUGAAAUGCGCAGAUAUCAGGAGGAACACCGAUGGCGAAGGCAGGUCUCUGGGCAUUAACUGACGCUGAGGAGCGAAAGCAUGGGGAGCGAACAGGAUUAGAUACCCUGGUAGUCCAUGCCGUAAACGUUGGGCACUAGGUGUGGGGGACAUUCCACGUUUUCCGCGCCGUAGCUAACGCAUUAAGUGCCCCGCCUGGGGAGUACGGCCGCAAGGCUAAAACUCAAAGGAAUUGACGGGGGCCCGCACAAGCGGCGGAGCAUGCGGAUUAAUUCGAUGCAACGCGAAGAACCUUACCAAGGCUUGACAUGGGCCGGAUCGCCGCAGAAAUGUGGUUUCCCCUUUGGGGCCGGUUCACAGGUGGUGCAUGGUUGUCGUCAGCUCGUGUCGUGAGAUGUUGGGUUAAGUCCCGCAACGAGCGCAACCCUCGUUCUAUGUUGCCAGCGCGUUAUGGCGGGGACUCAUAGGAGACUGCCGGGGUCAACUCGGAGGAAGGUGGGGACGACGUCAAAUCAUCAUGCCCCUUAUGUCUUGGGCUUCACGCAUGCUACAAUGGCCGGUACAAAGGGUUGCGAUACUGUGAGGUGGAGCUAAUCCCAAAAAGCCGGUCUCAGUUCGGAUUGGGGUCUGCAACUCGACCCCAUGAAGUCGGAGUCGCUAGUAAUCGCAGAUCAGCAACGCUGCGGUGAAUACGUUCCCGGGCCUUGUACACACCGCCCGUCAAGUCACGAAAGUUGGUAACACCCGAAGCCGGUGGC
rnacentral:rRNA from 1 species